rnacentral:misc_RNA from 1 species
UUUUGAUGUCCUGUAUGUAUUCCAGCAGGACUCACUUGUGAAAUGCAUUGAUAUUUUUCAAUGAAAAAUAAAAAGUAGGUUCGAAUUGUAAUAUAUUUGCUAUAUGUUCCUGUGACCUUUGUGACAGUUCAGUUUCUCUAUUAGGUGGGUGCACCAGGAUUGUCAUGAUGAUUUGUUUGGAGGCUUGAAUUCUCUAUCAUCUUUCUACAUUUAUAUAUAGUGAUGUUCCUCUGUG